CUCAAGAAACAUUGAGCUAGGUGACACAGCUUACCAUGUAUGUGAUGUUGCAGCUCAAAAUUAAGAUGUCGUCAAUCCAAUAAGAGAAGCCAAGGAGCUAUUGGUGAUCGUGUGAUUUUGUUGGAUACCUGCGGCAUCGUGGUGUCGGACGCGACGGACGCUGCCAGGUCCACGCUCACAUCGUGCUCAGGGAGCCUGGCCUCUUUAGUCGUGUUCUCCAUCUUGCAGCACAUGAUGAACUACACUGUAGAGUUCAGCUGUGUUUCCCCUGUUUUCUUCUACUACAAGAGUUCUAAUGAUUUGUACUGUUUGUCUGCAAAUUUAUGUUGUUUGCAUCACCAUAUGGAUAGUCGUAACAAAUGAAGAGAUUUCAGAGAGUUUCACAAUCUGACUCGAGUCACAGGCUAUAGGUUAACUUUAAUUGAAUGGUAGUAUGGGAGUAAUAAUUUCUAAAAUCUAGAAAUGAUCUUGUUGCUCAUAUAGAUCUUUCUGGUAAUCUGAUCUACCUUUGUUGUAUUAGUGGUGUUGGGUUAAAAAAUGAACAGUGAUGUUUAAAAAAGGUAAAGGUGAUUGUUGUAGUUACUGGGAUCCUCCAAGUGGAUCAUAAUAAUGAUGAGAAAACAUACCCAAAAAAACAUAAAAUGGAUUAAGAGGAAACACACUUUCUAGGAUUGUGGGCUGAAGAGAGAAUGGAUGCAGGCUUUGUCUCGAAGAUAUUAUCUGACAAGAAUGAAUUAGUCAUCAAUAGUUGAGGCGCAGCGAACCUUCUUACUUGCUCCACCUCCGAACUAUGUUAUUCUCUUUUUUUUUCUCCUUCGUUGUUGUGUCGCUUGACUGCAUCUUUAUUAGUUCAAACUCAUGCUUGUUUUAGCUAGGAUGAAUUUAGGAAUGGUUGCCAUUUCAUGGUACAGUUGAGCUGAUGUUGAGUAUCUGUUUAUGUGUAACGGUUCAUUUCCUCCUUUUCUUUCUGCAACAUUUCGUGAACUUGCUUAUAGAAAGAUUCAUCACAUAGGCCUUUAGCUUGAUUGUUCCGCCAUGAGAACCAGCAUGACUUUGGAUAUAUGUUUCUGCAGGUUUCAGAAUGUAUCCAAGAUUGCAGGGAAGUUAAUUACACCAUCUGUGGAAGAUGGGUUGUGGAAGAUGGACAUAGCCCCUCAGAUUAACCGAUGACUGCAAGACCGAGAGAAGCAUUAGGAACUGGUCCGCAAUGUCUUCCAGUGUAUGCGUACACACAAUUCACUACACUAACACUUAUUGAAUUGUUCAUCUUCUUUCUCCUCUGUCACGAAGAUUCUUCUAUGACCACAUCUUUGAGGAGAUCAACUAAUCUUCUUGUCGCAGUUUUUGUUGAAACAUUGAUUAGGUGCUCCAAGAAUGUAUGUGAGCUUGACAUCGUAUUUAACUGCAUCAAGGUACAAUGAUUCUCUUGGUUUGUAUUUUAUUCUGGAUUGUCACUGUCAUAAUAAAUAAAGUCCAGAAUAGCAUUGGUGUUUUUUUUAUCUUAGGAUGUACUCCCUCCGUUCCUAAAUAUAACUCGUUUUAGAGAUUUCAAUAAGGACUACAUACGGAUGUAUAUAGACAAGCAGACGCUUUUUCGUAGAUUAGUUGCUUAGUUUCAUAUGUUGAACUACGUUGUUGAGUGCAGUGUGUAGGCUCUUCAUAAAUUGCUAAGUAGGCGAUCAACUCGACACAUGUGGGGGCUGUGAGAGCUGUUAAUGGCAUCGGUCUUGUCAUACUUAUGAGCAGGAGCACGGGCCACAUUACUCUUCAUGCCCUCAGAGCAGCCAAGAUGUUGACUGCUGCUUGAAUCCUGAGAUUGAUUUCCACGUUGUAAUGGAAGGGAGGCCUGUUUGAGUUCCUGUAUGAAAGGAUAAAGAAGGGGCAUGUUGUCAUGGUAGUUGCUGAAGGCGUUGGUCAGGAGUUGAUUACCCGGACCGAUGACCAGAACAGAGAGCAAGAUGAGUAUGUCAACACGUUGUUCCUUGACGUUGACCUUCUUCUAUAAAGUUUACAUGCAACUCUCCUUCAUGGUUAAAAAAUCAAUUUAAACGUUUUAUUUCUUUGAUGGUUACUCAUUUCUCUUACCGUUGUUGUAUCAAAACAAUUGUAUUUUUGUUGAUGGCUGCUUGGGC